UACGGGGGGGGCAAGCGUUGUUCGGAAUUACUGGGCGUAAAGGGCUCGUAGGCGGCCAACUAAGUCAGACGUGAAAUCCCUCGGCUUAACCGGGGAACUGCGUCUGAUACUGGAUGGCUUGAGUUUGGGAGAGGGAUGCGGAAUUCCAGGUGUAGCGGUGAAAUGCGUAGAUAUCUGGAGGAACACCGGUGGCGAAGGCGGCUCACUGGCCCGAUACUGACGCUGAGGCACGAAAGCGUGGGGAGCAAACAGG
rnacentral:rRNA from 1 species